rnacentral:rRNA from 1 species
AUGCACGCGCCCAGGUGCCACCGGAGACUCGUCGGAUGUGACGCAGCUGCGAGUUCGUCGGCUGCUCGUGGGCAGGGGCGAGGCACUUCGAGCACGUCGGCACCCCCGUGGAAAGGGAGGCGCCGGCGGCGAGGUCCGCGUGGAUUGGGGUGGCAGAUGCUCGGCGGAUCGAUCGAUCCACUCGAUCUCUGGAGCUUGGCGGCCGGACUUGAAGCGGAUACGAAGGCAGGCGGCGUAGGGGCGACUAAGGACGCCCGGAUCCGAUUGAUGGAGGCGGUUGGCGGAGCUCCGGCCCCGGCGGGGGUCCUUGGAUGUGGCCAUGAGCAAGGAACCACCGGGAACAAGCUCCUCUGUACACGCCGGCCAUGA